rnacentral:rRNA from 1 species
AGUGAGGAAUAUUGGUCAAUGGUCGCAAGACUGAACCAGCCAUGCCGCGUGCAGGAAGACGGUCCUAUGGAUUGUAAACUGCUUUUAUACAGGAAGAAACCCUCCCACGUGUGGGAGCUUGACGGUACUGUAGGAAUAAGGAUCGGCUAACUCCGUGCCAGCAGCCGCGGUAAUACGGAGGAUCCAAGCGUUAUCCGGAAUCAUUGGGUUUAAAGGGUCCGUAGGCGGUCUUAUAAGUCAGUGGUGAAAGCCCAUCGCUCAACGAUGGAACUGCCAUUGAUACUGUAAGACUUGAAUGCUUAGGAAGUAACUAGAAUAUGUAGUGUAGCGGUGAAAUGCUUAGAUAUUACAUGGAAUACCAAUUGCGAAGGCAGGUUACUACUAAGUGAUUGACGCUGAUGGACGAAAGCGUGGGGAGCGAA